AUUGAACGCUAGCGGGAUGCUUAACACAUGCAAGUCGAACGGAGUGGCGGACGGGUGAGUAAUAUAUCGGAACGUGCCUGAUGGCGGGGGAUAACUAAUCGAACGGGUGGCUAAUACCGCAUACCAUUAGAGCGGCCGAUAUCGGAUUAGCUAGUUGGUGGGGUAAAGGCUCACCAAGGCAACGAUCCGUAGCUGGUUUGAGAGGAUGACCGUCCACACUGGAACUGAGACACGGCCCAUACUCCUACGGGAGGCAGCAGUGGGGAAUUUUGGACAAUGGGGGAAACCCUGAUCCAGCCAUCCCGCGUGUAUGAUGAAGGCCUUCGGGUUGUAAAGUACUUUUGGCAGAGAAGCGGUAUCUGCAGAAUAAGCACCGGCUAACUACGUGCCAGCAGCCGCGGUAAUAC
rnacentral:rRNA from 1 species